rnacentral:lncRNA from 1 species
AUGGUAUGGAAGAGACCAGCUUUUGCUGUUGGAGGGACUGGUUUUUAUACAGGACUCGAGCUUCAGACAGACGUGGGUAUCAAUGUCCCCCAAGGCUCGUUCCCUCCUCUAGCUACUGGAUACCAGAAGACCCUUAGGACAGAGGUCCCCUCGACCACGCACCUGAUGACCCAACAUGCACUUGCAACACCAUGCUCAUGCAGGGAGAAACUUCACGUCCUGUUCUCAUACGAGGAACAGGCGUGCACGGACGUGACGCAUGAAUGCAAACAAUGGCCCUUAAAUGUUGUUCACCUUCAGAAAGCCGUUGCCGGCAGGAGUCUCAAAGAAGGGGAGAGCUGCGCUCCGUGCUGACGGAGCUCAAGAGAUCUAGAUGCUUUUUUACUUAACCACCUGGCAUUGCUGGUGUCAGGUGGAGCCGUUUUCAAAAAUGCCACCAGAAGACUAGAAUCUUAAUAGACUCCGAUUUCAAUGUCAUCUCUAAAGUUUUGCUGUGUGUCAUCUCUCCACUAAAUUAAAUAUUCUGGGACUCACUGGAGACUUUGCAGAUAGAAAUGCGAGUUUAAUAAAAAGCAUGGGGGACAUGUGAACGUCUGGGCU